rnacentral:tRNA from 2 species
UCAGCUUUAACUCAGUUGGUAGAGUGCGACACUAGUACUUAAGAUACUGCAUAUGUCGAAGUCACUGGUUCAAAUCCAGUAGGGAGCA